GAAAGGCAGAAGCCUUAGCUUGCCCAGUUGGGCAGAAGGAUCCUCCUUCCAUCAUCACUGAAAGACAUUUUCUCUGAAUUGAAUUGUGGAGAAGUAAAACAAAUACAGGUUUGUCUGUCUGGAAAACGACUGAUUCGAGUUCACUAGGAAUAGGCUCUAAAUGCCUCCAUGUGGUAGGCCUGCGUAGCCAGUGUGACAUUGCGCCAAGACAUCCUGCCUACACCUGCCAAGAUGAGGAGUCCUGGAAGGGACACACAGAUCAUCCAGAGAAAUCAGGAUAAGGUUGCAGAUCAUUUGCCUCUUUUCCGCAGGACUCUGUGAAGCCUGGGAAGAAUCAGAAGCCUCAAUGGCUGACAAGACACUGACAAAAUUCUCUGAAAGUGUUUUGGGUACUCUCUGAAGAUGUAGCUAGCCCCAUGAGUCAGGAGAUAAUUUUUGUGAGUAAAUGCUGAAAGCCUCUUGUAAUUCACCAGCUGCCUUCUGCCAUGAACAGAAAGGCACUUCCCACGUCCUUCUAGUGGACAAGCAGUAUAUUGGAUGCAGGAAUGUUCUCUUCCAGUUCAACUGCAUUUAAUGUUUAUAUUUUUGCUAGUUCUUUCUUAAAUGUUCUAGAUCCUAUGCUAUCAACUGUAUAAUGUUUCUAUGACUGUGAGAAGAACCAAUUACUGUUUUAAAAUUGUGGUUGGGGUGGUGAGAGUUCUGAAUACAAAAUAAUAAUAGACAAUAUUAAUUUUUAAUAAAUCCUAUCUCACAUCUA